GGGAGAGAGAGGGAUGUGUUUGGAGACAUAGAGAGGUGUUGUGGUAUAUUGGGAGACAGAGGGAUGUGUUGGGAGACAGAGGGAUGUGUUGGGAGACAGAAAGAGGUGUUGGGAGAGAGAGAGAGUUGCUGUGAUGUGUUGGGAGACAGAGAGAGGUGUUGUGGUGUGUUGGGAGACAUGGAGAGGUUUUGGGUUGUGUUCAGAGACAGAGACGUUGGGUGACAGAGAGAGGUGUUGUGGUGUGUUGGGAGACAGAGAGAGGUUUUUGGAGACAGAGAGAGGUGGUGUGUUGGGAGACAGAGAGAGAUGGUGUGUUGGGAGACAGAGAGAGGUUUUUGGAGACAGAGAGAGGUUUUGUGUUGGGAGACAGAGAGAGGUGUUGUGGUGUGUUGGGAGACAGAGAGAGGUGUUGUGGUGUGUUGGGAGACAGAGAGAGGUUGUUGUAGAGAGGUGUUGUUGUGUGUUGGGAGACAUAGA
rnacentral:lncRNA from 1 species